AAAAACAGCAUAUGAAGACCCUGUAGCAGAGAAACCUCGGAGGAAGAAGACCGGGAUCCCUAAGAACUCCCGGGAAAACAAAACAAAAACGGCCGGUGAGGAUCUUAAAAGACCUCCCAGAGCAUGAAGACCGGGAUCCCCUAGAACUCCCGGGAAAACAAAGAAGACCGGGAUCCCUAAGAACUCCCGGGAAAACAAAACAAAAACGGCCGGUGAGGAUCUUAAAAGACCUCCCGGAGCAUGAAGACCGGGAUCCCCUAGAACUCCCGGAAAAACAAAGAAGACCGGGAUCCCCUAGAACUCCCGGGAAAACAAAAAAGACAAAUCCUAAGUUACUGAUGAAAAAUCAAAUUCCGACCUCCCGGAAGAGCUCGGGGCAAAAUAGCCAAGAGCGUCAUAGCCCCAGGCCAAUCUCCAAAAGCGAGCUCGG
rnacentral:lncRNA from 1 species